rnacentral:lncRNA from 1 species
GGCUGGGCGGCUGCGGCGCGGUCGCGGCGUCGCGGGGGCCGGGUCCACCGCGGGCGAGCUGGGGAGCACAGGGCGUGUCUGUUUAUCCCUGUCGACUUGGGUGGCGCUAGGCUAGGGGGCUCUUCCUCCCUGCCACCCCCGGCGGUCGCCUCGGCCCAGGGCUCCCGUUCCGGCGUCUGCCCCGCUCCUCGGCUUUCAGCUCCCUCCACCCUCCGUCCCGCGCGCGCCGGGCGCGGAGAGUUCGCCCCGGAACCCGAGCCGCGGGUUGCGCGCAUGCGGCUAAGGCCCGGGAGGGCAGGGCCGCCUCCCACGCCCACGCGCCGCCCCGCCUCCGCUGGCCGAAAGCCCUGGAGCGUGGCCCCGCGGCUCCGCUCGCCGCCCUCUGCCUGUCGGUGUGGGAAAGCCUUCCUGCCGGUUAAAUUCAGCUUCCCAAACCCACUUUUCUCUCCGCCGUGGAUGUGCAAAGCGCCCCACGUGAUAGUAACCGGAGCAGAGGAGACAGGCGCAGAGAGGCGAGGGACCAGGUCAGGGCAUCUCGCUGAAGAGGUGUGGUGAUGGCAGACACCUGUUUCCUGCAGGGACCAGUUAUCCAGCCACGUUUUAUAGAGAGGUAGACUCAACCUUCCUUGGCUGUAAGGUGGGCACACACUUGCCUUGUGAGCAACUUUGUGAUUUAAGUGUUAAACCCUGCCAUGAGAAAAGCAAUACAAUUCUGUUUCCUUAAAUUUUAUCCAUCAAUUUUGCAAAACAACACACAAAUCUGCUUCCUCUGCCAUACUACCCCAGCGUCAGCACUUUGUCCACUUGGCAAAUUCGUUUGUUUUUUGGUUUUUGUAUUUGUUCCCGUAACUGAACUCAGGACCUUGCCCUUGCCGGGCAGGUGUUGUACCACUGAGCUGUGUCCCCCCCCCCCUCCUGCUCAUUCUUGAACACUUUGCCCAAGGAGCACUUCUCCUGGGGAACAAUUACAUGUCUGUGCCCCAAACAGAGCAUACAUUCUUUUGUUGUUGUUUUUUAUUUUAAAGAGGAAAAAAAAUAACAAAAUAACAACAAAGACAAAAACAAAACAACACAAAAGCAAUAAAAAUGAUACAGGACUUCAAAAUAAGAUGAUAAGAGUUAACUGUGGUUGUUACAUGACAUAUUGUUAUCUUCAACAAAGUUGCUCAGAUUACCAGAUGUAAGAAUGCAAGAUUGAUCAAACUGGGGCUGGGGAUUUAGCCCAGCGGCACAGCGCCUGUCUGGCAAGCGCGAGGUUGUGAGUUCGAUUCCCGGUACCAGAAAAAAAAAAAAAGAUUGAUCAAACCAUUACAGAGAAUAAAAAAUAAAAACAAAAACCAUUAGAAAUGAUACAGAGCUUCAUUAAACAAAAUGAUAGGAAUUCAGCAAUGGUUGUUCUGUUGCAUAUUGUUGUCUUCAAAUUAGUUGUUCCGAUUACCAGGU